CUUGGUCAUUUAGAGGAAGUAAAAGUCGUAACAAGGUUUCCGUAGGUGAACCUGCGGAAGGAUCAUUACAGUAUUCUUUUGCCAGCGCUUAACUGCGCGGCGAAAAACCUUACACACAGUGUCUUUUUGAUACAGAACUCUUGCUUUGGUUUGGCCUAGAGAUAGGUUGGGCCAGAGGUUUAACAAAACACAAUUUAAUUAUUUUUACAGUUAGUCAAAUUUUGAAUUAAUCUUCAAAACUUUCAACAACGGAUCUCUUGGUUCUCGCAUCGAUGAAGAACGCAGCGAAAUGCGAUAAGUAAUAUGAAUUGCAGAUUUUCGUGAAUCAUCGAAUCUUUGAACGCACAUUGCGCCCUCUGGUAUUCCAGAGGGCAUGCCUGUUUGAGCGUCAUUUCUCUCUCAAACCCCCGGGUUUGGUAUUGAGUGAUACUCUUAGUCGGACUAGGCGUUUGCUUGAAAAGUAUUGGCAUGGGUAGUACUGGAUAGUGCUGUCGACCUCUCAAUGUAUUAGGUUUAUCCAACUCGUUGAAUGGUGUGGCGGGAUAUUUCUGGUAUUGUUGGCCCGGCCUUACAACAACCAAACAGGUUUGACCUCAAAUCAGGUAGGAAUACCCGCUGAACUUAAGCAUAUCAAUAAGCGGAGGA
rnacentral:rRNA from 1 species